UGGGGGAUCGUCUAACGGUAGGACAUGAGCCUUUGAAGCUCAGUAUCUUGGUUCGAUUCCAAGUCCCCCAGCCA
rnacentral:tRNA from 1 species